GAUGAACGCUGGCGGCGUGCCUAAUACAUGCAAGUCGAACGAAACUUCUUUAUCACCGAGUGCUUGCACUCACCGAUACAGAGUUGAGUGGCGAACGGGUGAGUAACACGUGGGCAACCUGCCCAAAAGAGGGGAUAACACUUGGAAACAGGUGCUAAUACCGCAUAACCAUAGUUACCGCAUGGUAACUAUGUAAAAGGUGGCUAUACUACCGCUUUUGGAUGGGCCCGCGGCGCAUUAGCUAGUUGGUAGGGUAAAGGCUUACCAAGGCAAUGAUGCGUAGCCGAAUUGAGAGGUUGAUCGGCCACAUUGGGACUGAGACACGGCCCAAACUCCUACGGGAGGCAGCAGUAGGGAAUCUUCCACAAUGGGCGAAAGCCUGAUGGAGCAACGCCGCGUGGGUGAAGAAGGUCUUCGGAUCGUAAAACCCUGUUGUUAGAGAAGAAAGUGCGUGAGAGUAACUGUCCACGUUUCGACGGUAUCUAACCAGAAAGCCACGGCUAACUACGUG
rnacentral:rRNA from 1 species